UAGAGGAAACGUAAGUGCGUUCGGCAACGUAAAUCUGAGAUGCGAGCUAGCAGAUGGCGAGCUUGAUCACGUGAUCUUCGAGCAA